rnacentral:lncRNA from 1 species
CGGCAGCACUGGCAAGUCAAGCAAAUUAAGAAGAAUCAACUUACCCGAAUUCUCGGAGAAGCUAAGGUAUGAUAUAAACAGUUAAUUGUUAACAGAUUUUGACCAAUUUAAUCAGGGUAUCAAAGCAUGUUAUAAAUAACAGAUUAGGCCAUUCCUGAUAAUUAAAAGCAAUUUGGAUGAUUGAAGCAAUCGAUUAUUCAACAUUCAAAUUCAUAAAACUUAAUCUAUUAUUUAACAUUCAAAUUCAUAAAACUCAUAACAUUCAAAUUCAAACUUACUUGUGGAGAAGGAGAAAUGUGCCACACAAAAUAAAUGUUCCAGCAACAAGAAUCCAUCCUAGGAUCACGAGGCUACAAUGUAUAGAGAAUCAAUCGUUAGGAAAAGGCGUGAGGAAAAAGAAAAUCAAGUUUGUGGGAUAUAUCAGAGCUUUACUCACAUAUACACGAGAAACUGCAUUCCGAAAACUGAGAACACUGGAAAAAUGCAUAGAAUAUGAUUAGAUUACGCCAAAAUAUUGAUUUAGUCCCUGUACUUUUUUAAAAUAUUUAAAUGAGUCUAUGUACUUUUUUUUGUAAUGCCUUGUACUUUUAAAAAAUUUAUAUUUCAGUUAUUACCCGUUAAUGGUGUUAUUGGAGGUGCCACAUGGACCCAAACAGGCCAUGUGAUACAUUCUGAAUAUGUCGUCAUCCACAUCAGAUGGAUGACGUGGCAUCUUGACAUGGUAAGAUUUAACUUCUUAUAAAUAAGCCGGUCAAUCCAGGUUAAGAAAACACUAGGUUGAGUUAAUCAUUUUUAGCCCUAAAUCCCAAAUUCACCGAACCCUAAAUCUCCUUCGUCGUGCUCUUCUUCUCGGCAGGUUGCACAGAGAUCUCUUGUUAGUUGCGCUCUCUCCUUCUCGUUUGCUGGUGGCUUCUUCUGGUGCUUGAUUGUCCCUCGUCUCACUCACUGGUGGCUGCUUGUUGCGCUCUCAUUUGUUUGAGCAUCUUGAGUUCAUCUUCAGUUGUACUUUGAUUCAUUUGUUCUCACUUUAUUUGAAAUGCAAGAAAAAACUCAUGUCCUCAUACCCUAGGAAGUUAUCAUUAUAAUAUACAAAGGGUAGAAAGCAUCUGAAUAUCUUGGGUUGUGUGAUUGGAAAAGCACAUUUAGUUCACUGGAGGAGUCAUCAGAAGGAGUGGGGAAAGCUACCAGAAGGAGAUUGCAAACACUACUCCAAUCAGAGCGCAAGGAGGAAGAAUCACAACAGAGAAGGCGAGGAAGAAGAAGUGGUGAAUUUGAAAAUUUGAGAUUUUCG